UUCUGCAGAGACCUACUAAUAGUUAAUUCUCAUAUAUUUUGUAAGGUUCAAACACAUUAUUUUCUUGCAAUGAAUUAUUCUUAACCAAUUGUAUCAUUCUAAUUGUUUUGUCUUCUUUUUCAGGAUGGAAGACAAUUUCAUUUUUCUAAGCAAAAUUACCAGCUUCACUGGAAUUCGAAGGUGAAGUUCAUGUUUCGCGGAAAUGGUUGUUCAGAAUUGCAAGAACAAGUUCAUAUUGGAACACUUGAAAAGCAAAGAGAUGAACUUCAAGAUGAAUUGAAAAAGGUGCUUGCUUGGUGGUCCCCCAUCACCUAAAAAACCCCAUUAUUGCAAUUGCAGAAUUCUCUUCAUUAAAUAUUGACUCAAGUUUUCAACUCUACCUGUUUUUUUAUUUGUGUCACAUGCAUAAUGUUGCACACUUGUACCUGGCCCUGUGUACACUUGUCCCUGGCCCUCUUAAAAAUUGAAACCAUGACUUCCAUUCUAUAGUCAGAUCAUUUUUACUCA